UACGGAGGGGGCAAGCGUUGUUCGGAAUCAUUGGGCGUAAAGGGCGCGUAGGCGGCUGAUCAAGUCGGGUGUGAAAUCCCUCGGCUCAACCGAGGAACUGCAUUCGAUACUGGUCGGCUAGAGUCCGGGAGGGGAUGGUGGAAUUCCCAGUGUAGCGGUGAAAUGCGUAGAUAUUGGGAAGAACACCGGUGGCGAAGGCGGCCAUCUGGACCGGUACUGACGCUGAGGCGCGAAAGCCAGGGGAGCGAAUGGG
rnacentral:rRNA from 1 species